rnacentral:lncRNA from 1 species
GGUUUAGAUUGAUACUGUCGAUUCCAACAGGGUACUUCUCUGAAAUCCGAUUCCUACAGGUAACAUUUUUACCAGAGCUCAUCCAUAGGGGGGGUGCGGAUAAUAAAUGGAAUGACCCCUAUCGACCUAAUCAACGCAAACAAAUUAUGUCGCUUGUGGGAUUUGUUAAAGGCACAAAUGAUUCAGGAUGGUAGAAAGAAUAGCAGGUGCGUUGUAGUGAUCUUAUUUAUGUUAAUGGUGGGUGCUUAAACGCAAUGCCUUGUGAGAAUAUAUACCAUACCAUCCCUGCUUGUGUAAUAUGUUCCUUAUAAUAAAGUCAUAGUCAUGAUUAAUUAUCACUCUUCUGAGAAAACCUCAAUGGUGUUUUAUUCCAAAGAAGCAGAUUAAAAUUAAUAAAUUUGAAAGAAAUUGAAAGUUGUGAAAUAAUGGUAUCUCAUUUCUGUGCUUUUUAGAUCCUAUAGAGACAGUAUAAAGUGAAGAUGGAACAAUGCUGCAAACAGUUACUUUCAGUUGCAUGUCUAUAUAAUAUGCAUUAUAUUGCAUUGUGUAAAAACAAUUUAAUUGUAAAGGGUCUCUCGUAUUAUAGGAUCUGUGUGAAGUCUAUCAGCCUAAUCAUAAAAAAAUGUAUUGGUUAUAAAACAUUGUUUGUUGACUGAAUACUGCAACCUGCUGAGAUCAUUUUAGCUUUGUCUUUUCUUCAUGGAGUAAAUCAGGCUUUUAGGUUUCAAGAAAUUGUGACAUUGUUAAUAUAUGUUCUCCCCUCAAUAAUACAGAUCAAUUAAUAAACAGCAUAAUAUGUAUAUUUUAUGAGACUGACUGCUGCCUUGACACACCUACACACAUUACAAUUGCAUUAAAAUACACUACAG